GCACAAAUUAUCCAUUUUAAGAAUGCCCUAUAAAAGCCAAUUUUAAAACCCUAAAAUCAUUUUUCUUCUGCCUUUUGACAGAUGCGCCGCAACUCCCCUCUUUCUCUGCAGUUCCAAUUCCAUUUCGAAUCGGCCACAACGACGGCGGUACCUCGACGGCGCGCCACCACCGGUAAGAACUUUUCCUCUUCUUCUUUGCUUCGUUUAUUUGUUUAAAAAAACAAGAGAGAAAAUAAAAAAGAACAAAACAGUAAAGGAAAAGAAAAACGAAACUAAGUAAGUACCUUCAAAAUUGUUUUUUUUCUUUGUUUUUUAUUUUUAAAUAUUCUCUUCAAUACAAUCUUUUUGAUUCUUGGUUUUUGUUUUUUUUUUCAAUAUUUUCUUUACAAUAUUUGUCUCCCCUACUACAGAAAUCCAUUGGCCUUUUAUAGCCCAAUCUUUUUUACAAUUUUUUAUCCCCUCAAUCACACCCGCUGUUUUUGGUUUAUUGCAGGUGAAGGAGAACGUGAAAACGAGCAUUGCAGGGCCGCUGAACGUGCGAGUACGACGUGGGUAAUGGAACGGUUCUUCGGCGUGGGCAGUUGCUGAGGCGCCGAUUUGCUUCAACCUACUUCCAUUGUUGCUGAAGACCUGUUGAGGGCUAGGGAUUGCACACUUGGUCCUUAUUGGGCCAAAUGUAAUUGGGUUAGGUUGUAAUUUGGGUUUUGGGUCAGUUUUAGUGAGUAUAGUUGGGCUCGGGCAAUAAUUGGGUAUUACACCAAUGUUAAUAAUAUCGACGUUCAAAGAAUAAACGAAUUAUCAAUACAAAAGAUGAGUUAUAUGUGUAAAAUUUUAAGAUAAACAAUAUACAUAUAUGAGUUUAAUAAGUCAAAAAUGAAGAUAAAAAAAUAAAUACUAUAAAAAAAUAAUACCAAAAUGAAGUUUAAAGUGAAUAUUGUAUAUGAAGAAAAUCA
rnacentral:lncRNA from 1 species